rnacentral:rRNA from 1 species
GAUGAACGCUGACAGAAUGCUUAACACAUGCAAGUCGAUUCAAGUUACCUUCGGGUAAUGAGGAUGGCGGACGGGUGAGUAACGCGUAAGGAACUUGCCUCUUGGUCUGGGACAACUGUUGGAAACGACAGCUAAUACCGGAUAUUAUGAGAUUCUCGCAUGGGAAACUUAUGAAAGCUAUAUGCGCCAAGAGAGAGCCUUGCGUUCCAUUAGCUAGUUGGUGGGGUAAUGGCCCACCAAGGCGACGAUGGAUAGCCGGCCUGAGAGGGUGAACGGCCACAAGGGGACUGAGACACGGCCCUUACUCCUACGGGAGGCAGCAGUGGGGAAUAUUGGACAAUGGGCCACAAGCCUGAUCCAGCAAUUCUGUGUGCACGAUGAAGGUCUUCGGAUUGUAAAGUGCUUUCAGUUGGGAAGAAGAAAGUGACGGUACCAACAGAAGAAGCGACGGCUAAAUACGUGCCAGCAGCCGCGGUAAUACGUAUGUCGCAAGCGUUAUCCGGAUUUAUUGGGCGUAAAGCGCGUCUAGGCGGAAAAAUAAGUCUGAUGUUAAAAUGCGGGGCUCAACUCCGUAUUGCGUUGGAAACUGUUUUUCUAGAGUACUGGAGAGGUGGGCGGAACUACAAGUGUAGAGGUGAAAUUCGUAGAUAUUUGUAGGAAUGCCGAUGGAGAAGUCAGCUCACUGGACAGAUACUGACGCUAAAGCGCGAAAGCNUGGGGAGCAAACAGGAUUAGAUA